rnacentral:rRNA from 1 species
UACGAAGGGGGCUAGCGUUGCUCGGAAUCACUGGGCGUAAAGCGCACGUAGGCGGCUUUUUAAGUCAGGGGUGAAAUCCUGGAGCUCAACUCCAGAACUGCCUUUGAUACUGGGAAGCUUGAGUCCGGAAGAGGUGAGUGGAACUCCGAGUGUAGAGGUGAAAUUCGUAGAUAUUCGGAAGAACACCAGUGGCGAAGGCGGCAUCCUGGACCGGCAUUGACGCUGAGGCGCGAAAGCCAGGGGAGCAAACGGG